rnacentral:rRNA from 1 species
CACUCCUACGGGAGGCAGCAGUGGGGAAUUUUGGACAAUGGGCGAAAGCCUGAUCCAGCCAUGCCGCGUGCAGGAUGAAGGCCUUCGGGUUGUAAACUGCUUUUGUACGGAACGAAACGGCCUUUUCUAAUAAAGAGGGCUAAUGACGGUACCGUAAGAAUAAGCACCGGCUAACUACGUGCCAGCAGCCGCGGUAAUACGUAGGGUGCAAGCGUUAAUCGGAAUUACUGGGCGUAAAGCGUGCGCAGGCGGUUAUGUAAGACAGUUGUGAAAUCCCCGGGCUCAACCUGGGAACUGCAUCUGUGACUGCAUAGCUAGAGUACGGUAGAGGGGGAUGGAAUUCCGCGUGUAGCAGUGAAAUGCGUAGAUAUGCGGAGGAACACCGAUGGCGAAGGCAAUCCCCUGGACCUGUACUGACGCUCAUGCACGAAAGCGUGGGGAGCAAACAGGAUUAGAAACCCCUGUAGUCCCAUG